rnacentral:rRNA from 1 species
CCAGGAUAUGCAGCGCAGCCUGAUCAGCAUGCCGCGUGUGUGAAGAAGGCCUUCGGGUUGUAAAGCACUUUUAUCGGGAACGAAACCUGGUCGGUUAAUACCCGGGCAGACUGACGGUACCUGAGGAAUAAGCACCGGCUAACUUCGUGCCAGCAGCCGCGGUAAUACGAAGGGUGCAAGCGUUAAUCGGAAUUACUGGGCGUAAAGGGUGCGUAGGCGGUUUUUUAAGUCUGCUGUGAAAUCCCCGGGCUCAACCUGGGAAUGGCAAUGGAUACUGGCAAGCUGGAGUGUGGCAGAGGAUGGUGGAAUUCCCGGUGUAGCGGUGAAAUGCGUAGAGAUCGGAAGGAACACCAGUGG